rnacentral:rRNA from 1 species
UACGUAGGGUGCAAGCGUUGUCCGGAAUUAUUGGGCGUAAAGAGCUCGUAGGCGGCUAGUCGCGUCGGCUGUGAAAACCUGGGGCUCAACCCCGGGCCUGCAGACGAUACGGGCUAGCUAGAAUUCGGUAGGGGAGACUGGAAUUCCUGGUGUAGCGGUGAAAUGCGCAGAUAUCAGGAGGAACACCGGUGGCGAAGGCGGGUCUCUGGGCCGAAAUUGACACUGAGGAGCGAAAGCGUGGGGAGCAAACAGG